UGAAUACGAGAUGCUACGGCGUCGAAGCAGUCUAUGUCAUACUUCCAAGAAAAGCUUGCACUGUCAUAAACAAAUAAUGCCUGUACCAUAACCGACACAGGUGGGUAGGUAGAGUAUACUAAGGGGCGCGAGAUAACUCUCUCUAAGGAACUCGGCAAAAUGACUCCGUAACUUCGGGAGAAGGAGUGCCUUAUUUUAUAAGGUUGCAAUAACAAGAUCCAAGCAACUGUUUACCAAAAACACAGGUCUCCGCUAAGUCGUAAGACGAUGUAUGGGGGCUGACGCCUGCCCAGUGCCAGAAGGUUAAAGAAGUUGGUUAGCAUCCGCGAAGCUGAUAACUGAAGCCCUGGUGAACGGCGGCCGUAACUAUAACGGUCCUAAGGUAGCGAAAUUCCUUGUCGGGUAAGUUCCGACCCGCACGAAAGGCGUAAUGAUUUGGAUACUGUCUCAGAGAGGGGCUCGGUGAAAUAGACUUGUCUGUGAAGAUGCGGACUACCUGCACCAGGACAGAAAGACCCUAUGAAGCUUUACUGUAACUUGAAAUUGAAAUUGGACUUUACUUGCGCAGUAUAGGUGGGAGGCGUUGAGAAUAUUCUUGCGGGAAUGUUGGAGCCAUCAGUGAGAUACCACUCUUGUAAUGUUAGAUUUCUAACUUUGUAUCAUUAUCUGGUCAAAGGACAGUUUCAGGCGGGCAGUUUGACUGGGGCGGUCGCCUCCCAAACGGUAACGGAGGCGCACAAAGGUUUCCUCUGAACGGGUAGAAAUCGUAUCUAGAGUGUAAAGGCAUAAGGAAGCUUGACUGUGAGACCUACAAGUCGAGCAGGGACGAAAGUCGGUCUUAGUGAUCUGACGGUGCUGAGUGGAAAGGCCGUCACUCAACGGAUAAAAGUUACUCUAGGAUAACAGGCUGAUCUCCCCCAAGAGUUCACAUCGACGGGGAGGUUUGGCACCUCGAUGUCGGCUCAUCGCAUCCUGGGGCGGUAGUACGUCCCAAGGGUUGGGCUGUUCGCCCAUGAAAGCGGUACGCGAGCUGGGUUCAGAACGUCGUGAGACAGUUCGGUCCAUAUCCGGUGUAGGCGUUAGAAUAUUGAGAGGAGCCUUCUUUAGUACGAGAGGACCGAGAAGGACAUACCUCUGGUGUACCAGUUAUCGUGCCAACGGUAAACGCUGGGUAGCUAUGUAUGGAGUGGAUAACCGCUGAAAGCAUCUAAGUGGGAAGCCCACCUCAAGAUAAGUAUUCU
rnacentral:rRNA from 1 species